GUACUUCUGAAGAGUCCCAAGCUAGGACGAAAUAGCUGUCCAGUAC
rfam:Trichobilharzia regenti genome assembly, scaffold: TRE_scaffold0025590